UCUGUUUUUCUGUGUUACAGAAAACCCUACUCCUAUCGUUAUAUUGACAAGAAAUUGUACUUGACCAUAAUACCCUUAUUUAUGUUAAAAGAAAUAAAACACAGAAAUAAACCCUAUAUCUUAAGUAACGUAACACUCCCCCUCAAGCUGGAGCAUAUAGGUCACCCAUGCCCAGCUUGGAACAACCAACAACAAAGGCGGGACGAAACAACGCUUUAGUGAAGAUAUCAGCAAAUUGAUCUCUAGAGGCAACGUAAGGAGUAGCAAUCAACUCCUGCUUCACAGCAUCACGAACAAAGUGGCAGUCAACUUCUAUAUGCUUAGUUCGCUCAUGAAAAACCGGAUUUCCAGCAAUAUAAAUAGCUGCCUGAUUAUCACACAUCAUAUCAAUGGGUUGAUUAAUAGAAAAUCCAAGCUCUUGAAGAAGGGAUUUCAACCACAACAAUUCGGCCACAGUAUGUGCCAUAGCACGAUAUUCAGCCUCCGCACUAGAUCCGGCAAUGGUAGUCUGUUUCUUGCUUCUCCAAGUAACCAAAUUGCCACCAAGAAAGGUGCAAUAACCAGUCGUAGACCGCCGAUCACAUGCUAACCCGGCCCAAUCAAGCAUCGAAUAGCCAAUUAGAGUGGAAGAACCGUUCGGUUUAUAAAUUAGUCCUUUACCGGGAGAGUUUUUAAGGUAUCGAACAAUUCAACAAACAACAUCCCAAUGAGCCUUCUUGGGUGACUCCAUAAUUUGACUCACUACACCAACAGCAAAGGAAAUAUCGGGACGUGUAACAGUAAGAUAAAUUAGGUUCCCAACUAGACGUCGAUAUUGACGCUUAUGUUCAAUAUCAUCUCCAUCAUCAACUCCAAACUUCUGAUUUGGAUCCAUAGGAGUAUCAAGCGGCUUGGAAGCUAGUGUACCGGUCUCACACAAAAGGUCAAGAACAUACUUUCGCUGAGAUAAAUUAAUACCUUUCUUACUUCGUAAGACUUCAAUACCCAGAAAAUACCUAAGAGCUCCCAAGUCUUUAAUUUGAAACUCUUUCUGAAGAAAAGACUUGACCUC